CACGUAGGGUGCAAGCGUUGUCCGGAAUCAUUGGGCGUAAAGAGCUCGUAGGCGGCUUAGUAAGUCGGGUGUGAAAACCCCAGGCUCAACCUGGGGACGCCACCCGAUACUGCUAUAGCUAGAGUCCAGUAGGGGAGUGUGGAAUUCCCAGUGUAGCGGUGAAAUGCGCAGAUAUUGGGAGGAACACCAGCGGCGAAGGCGGCACUCUGGGCUGGUACUGACGCUGAGGAGCGAAAGCGUGGGGAGCAACAGG
rnacentral:rRNA from 1 species